rnacentral:rRNA from 1 species
GUAGGUGGCAAGCGUUGUCCGGAAUUAUUGGGCGCAAAGCGCGCGCAGGCGGUUCUUUAAGUCUGAUGUGAAAGCCCACGGCUCAACCGUGGAGGGUUAUUGGAAACUGGAGAACUUGAGUACAGAAGAGGAAAGCGGAAUUCCACGUGUAGCGGUGAAAUGCGUAGAGAUGUGGAGGAACACCAGUGGCGAAGGCGGCUUUCUGGUCUGUAACUGACGCUGAGGCGCGAAAGCGUGGGGAGCAAACAGGGAUUAGAUACCCUGGUAGUCCACGCCGUAAACGAUGAGUGCUAAGUGUUAGGGGGUUUCCGCCCCCUUAGUGCUGCAGCUAACGCAUUAAGCACUCCGCCUGGGGAGUACGGCCGCAAGGCUG